CUCCUUGAUGACCGAUAGCGGACAAGUACCGUGAGGGAAAGGUGAAAAGUACCCCGGGAGGGGAGUGAAAUAGUACCUGAAACCGAUCGCCUACAAUCCGUCGGAGCCUCCUUGUUGGGGUGACGGCGUGCCUUUUGAAGAAUGAGCCUGCGAGUUAGUGGUAUGUGGCGAGGUUAACCCGGGUGGGGGAGCCGUAGCGAAAGCGAGUCCGAAUAGGGCGGUUGAGUCGCAUGCUCUAGACCCGAAGCGAAGUGAUCUAUCCAUGGCCAGGGUGAAGCGACGGUAAGACGUCGUGGAGGCCCGAACCCACUUGGGUUGAAAACCGAGGGGAUGAGCUGUGGAUAGGGGUGAAAGGCCAAUCAAACUUCGUGAUAGCUGGUUCUCCCCGAAAUGCAUUUAGGUGCAGCGUCGUCUGUUUCUUACCGGAGGUAGAGCACUGGAUGGUCUAGGGGGCCCACAAGCUUACCGAAAUCAGCCAAACUCCGAAUGCCGGUAAGUGAGAGGACGGCAGUGAGACUGUGGGGGAUAAGCUUCAUAGUCGAGAGGGAAACAGCCCAGAUCAUCAGCUAAGGCCCCUAAGGGACUGCUAAGUGGAAAAGGAUGUGGAGUUGCUUUGACAACCAGGAGGUUGGCUUGGAAGCAGCCACCCUUGAAAGAGUGCGUAAUAGCUCACUGGUCAAGUGAUUCUGCGCCGACAAUGUAGCGGGGCUCAAGCAGUCCGCCGAAGCUGUGGCACUCACACGUGUGCUUGGCCCCUUUUGUGGGGUUUAGGUGUGUGGGUGGGUAGGGGAGCGUCGUGUGUGCGGUGAAGCGGCGGGGUGACCCAGUCGUGGAGUGCACACGAGUGAGAAUGCAGGCAUGAGUAGCGAAUGACGGGUGAGAAACCCGUCCGCCGAAUAUCCAAGGGUUCCAGGGUCAAGCUAAUCUGCCCUGGGUAAGUCGGGACCUAAGGCGAGGCCGACAGGCGUAGUCGAUGGACAACCAGUUGAUAUUCUGGUACCGGCGAAACAACGUCCGUGCUGAGGCGGGUGAUACUAAGCAUGCGAGCUCAUUGUGGCCCUUUGGGGUUGUGGUGGGUGAGUCUGUGACCUGAUCUUGUAGUAGGCAAGCUGCGGAGGGACGCAGGAAGGUAGCCCAUCCCGGGCGGUGGUUGUCCCGGGCUAAGAUGGUAGGCCGGCACGUAGGCAAAUCCGCGUGUUGUGUGGCUGAGAGUUGAUGGCACUGCGAAACAUGUUUUGUGGUGUGGGUGAUCCUAUGCUGCCUAGAAAAGCUUCGUGAGCGAGUUGUGAGCCGCCCGUACCCUAAACCGACACAGGUGGAUAGGUAGAGAAUACCAAGGCGAUCGAGAGAAUCGUGGUGAAGGAACUCGGCAAAAUACCCCCGUAACUUCGGGAUAAGGGGGACCUGACACGUCAACACAUUUUCUGUGGGUAGCGUGGAGGGUCGCAGAGACCAGGCCCAAGCGACUGUUUACUAAAAACACAGGUCCGUGCGAAGUUGUAAGACGAUGUAUACGGACUGACUCCUGCCCGGUGCUGGAAGGUUAAGGGGACCUGUCAGGGUAGUGAUACCCGAAGCGGAGAACUUAAGCCCCAGUAAACGGCGGUGGUAACUAUAACCAUCCUAAGGUAGCGAAAUUCCUUGUCGGGUAAGUUCCGACCUGCACGAAUGGAGUAACGAUUUGGGCGCUGUCUCCACCACGAACUCGGCGAAAUUGCACUACGAGUAAAGAUGCUCGUUACGCGCAGCAGGACGGAAAGACCCCGGGACCUUUACUAUAGUUUGGUAUUGGUGAUCGGUACAGCUUGUGUAGGAUAGGUGGGAGACUGUGAAGUCCGGACGCUAGUUCGGGUGGAGUCAUCGUUGAAAUACCACUCUGGCUGUUCUGGUUAUCUAACCUCGGACCAUGAUCUGGUUCAGGGACAGUGCCUGAUGGGUAGUUUGACUGGGGCGGUCGCCUCCUAAAAGGUAACGGAGGCGCCCAAAGGUUCCCUCAGCCUGGUUGGCAAUCAGGUGUUGAGUGUAAGUGCACAAGGGAGCUUGACUGUGAGACUGACAAGUCGAGCAGGGACGAAAGUCGGGACUAGUGAUCUGACGGUGGCGUGUGGAAGCGCCGUCACUCAACGGAUAAAAGGUACCCCGGGGAUAACAGGCUGAUCUUGCCCGAGCGUCCAUAGCGACGGCAUGGUUUGGCACCUCGAUGUCGGCUCGUCGCAUCCUGGGGCUGGAGUCGGUCCCAAGGGUUGGGCUGUUCGCCCAUUAAAGCGGCACGCGAGCUGGGUUUAGAACGUCGUGAGACAGUUCGGUCCCUAUCCGCUGCGCGCGUAGGAAUCUUGAGAGAGGCUGUCCUUAGUACGAGAGGACCGGGACGGACGAACCUCUGGUGUGCCAGUUGU
rnacentral:rRNA from 1 species